UACGGAGGGUGCAAGCGUUAUCCGGAUUCACUGGGUUUAAAGGGUGUGUAGGCGGGCAGAUAAGUCAGUGGUGAAAUCCCCGAGCUUAACUUGGGAACUGCCAUUGAUACUAUUUGUCUUGAAUGUCGUGGAGGUUGGCGGAAUAUGUCAUGUAGCGGUGAAAUGCUUAGAUAUGACAUAGAACACCUAUUGCGAAGGCAGCUAACUACGCGAAUAUUGACGCUGAGGCACGAAAGCGUGGGGAUCAAACAGG
rnacentral:rRNA from 1 species